UGUGGGAAAUGUAGGCGUUAAAAAUGGACCCUUAACUGGUGGAUCAGAUAUUUAUCCAAACAUCAUAGCGAUGGGUUUCCCUGCGGAGCGUCUGGAGGGAGUCUACAGGAACAACAUCGACGACGUCGUCCGGUUUUUAGACUCGAAGCACAAGAAUCACUACAAGAUCUACAAUCUAUGUGCAGAGCGACACUACGACACGUCAAAGUUCAACUGUCGGGGUGAGUCAUCCACGCGGCCGC